UACGUAGGGUGCAAGCGUUGUCCGGAAUUAUUGGGCGUAAAGAGCUCGUAGGCGGUUUGUCGCGUCUGCUGUGAAAAUCCAGGGCUUAACCCUGGACCUGCAGUGGGUACGGGCAGACUAGAGUGUGGUAGGGGAGACUGGAAUUCCUGGUGUAGCGGUGAAAUGUGUAGAGAUCGGGAGGAACACCGGUGGCGAAGGCGGGUCUCUGGGCAUCUCCUGACGCUGAGGCGCGAAAGCGUGGGGAGCAAACGGG
rnacentral:rRNA from 1 species